CCAAUUGGUGAUGAUGAGAUGAUCAGUUAUGUUCUCAAUGGUCUUGGCACCAAAUAUGGGGCUCUCAUUACCUCGAUUACAAACCGUGCUGAUCCUGUUACCUUGGAUGACUUAUAUGGCCAUCUUUUACACCAUGAAC